GGCCUCUCCUAGUGUAGUAAUUCCUCAAUAUCCCUAUAAAUAAAUAAAAAUCAUAAAUUAAUCAUCAAAUGACAAUCACGGCUAUACAAAACUAUAGACGGUGACAAAUUAAGAUCAUACUUUGGUUUUAAUGUUAAAAAAUGUGAUAAGUUUGAAAGCGAGGCACCGUCAUAACGUGUGCUGGUUCGUCCAUGUUUGUAGGCUUCCUCGUUAUGGAGCUUCACGCUUCACUGAAGCCUUCAAUCUCAU
rnacentral:lncRNA from 1 species